UUUCAUUCAUUCUCUCUUUAAUUUACUCUGAAUACAACUCUUACUAUAAAUUUUGAAGGAUGGAAGAUACAGUUUCAAAAAUCUUUCUGAUAUAUUGGCUCAACUUCCCAUGGAUUUCAUAAUUCUUCUUCUAUUUGGUAUAUCUGUGUGCAUGUAAAUAUUGAAGAUAUCUCCAUGGCCAACGAAAGAAUGCACCCAAAAAGGCACAACAUGAUCAGUGUUAGUGAGAAAGAGAACGACGAUUUUAUGUGAGUAGUAUUUUUGUCAAAGUAGGAAUGUUUAUUUGGAUAUUUUUUACUCUGCUUGUGUACGGUUAAUUUUUGAAUCUAUUUCCCAUUCUUAACGUCCAAAUAUGAUUGCUCACAACACAUGUCGUUAGGGUUCAUAGUUCUAUGAUUAGAAGAUAUUCUUAUUCUUAAGAAAAAAUAUAGUUAUUAUGACGAUUUCAUAAUGAUGAAGACGGAUUUCACUAACCGUAAAAUAUUGAUAAGUAAUUUCAAGUAACACAUUCAUAAUUUACUCCAAAUAUCACAGAAAGGAGGAAACUGGCCGAGAAUUAAUUUUUGAAAUCGGAUUAAAAAAACCAUGAAAUUUCUGAAGUAGGAUGCUAGAAUUGAAAGAGAGUUGGCAGACGUUUGGCCUUCUUUGAGUUUUUUUCAUUAUUAACUCAUUCUCUAUCUUGAGUAGUAAAUUCUAUGAAUGCUAAUUCGUCAAGUUGCGCAUGCUUAUAGGCCGCAACUUUGAAUGUUGCCACAACAACAAGGGCUCAUCUAUAACUGCUUUUGGAUUGGGAGUUUGUAGUCUUUGUAUGAGGCUUCUUAUUGCUAUUGUGGUUGCCUCCCAUUUUAACAGGCUGCAAAAUGAACAAGCGUUGAAGGUGCUUCAAGAAUUAUUGGUGUUGAUUUGAAUGCAAGCAUAUUUGAGCUAGGUAAAAUAUCUAACUCUGUGUGCUCUUUCUUGAACAUUAGAAUUUUUAACUUUUCUAUCUAUUGACCUUUAUUUCUAUCGUAAGUCAUUCUGUGCAGAAAAAUAAAAUUACUCAUGUUCUUUUCUAGCAAAAAAAAAGUAGUGCGACAUAAUUGUAAACCAAAAGGGCCAAAACGAACCAGUUGAGGUACUCUUAUAUGCUUCUAUCUCCUAAUGUAUCAGUUUAUAUUAGCAAAAAAUUGAGUUAAAGUCUAUAACCCCUUUCUAAAUUUCUCAAAUGUUUGAUAUAUUAUUGCGGAGAUGACAGAUGGUGGAGUACACAGGUCAAAUUUUAAAAAAUUAAAUAAUAAGCAUUUCAAAGUAAAGGAAGUAUUUUGUAAUUUUAAAAAUUACUCAUCUAUGCAUCUAUCUCCAGAUGUAUCAGUUUAUAUUAGCAAAAAUUGAGUGAAAGCCUUUCAUCUCUUUCUAAAUUUCUCAAAUAUUUGAUAUGUAAUUGAUGAGAUGAUUAAUGGUGGAGUGAAGGGUGGAGUUUACAUGUCAAAUUUAAAAAGAAUAAAUAAUAUUCCUUUCAAAGUAAAUGAAGUAUUUCGUAGUUUUAGAUAGUGAGGACAUUUAUUCCAACAAUAUGUUUAUUUCUGAAGGACCUAAUUAUACAUGACACUACAUAGUGAUAGGCGUGGUUAAUUAAAUGAGCUCUUUUUAAUCAAACUGCAUUUUGCUUUUCCUAAUGUUAUCUUUUUAGUGGAGUAAUAAACAGAUGAGAAUAAAAAUCCCACUUAAAAAAGGAAGUACUUCAUAGUUUUGAAAAUUACUCAUCUAUGCAUCUAUCUCCAGAUGUAUUAGUUUAUAUUAGUAAACAUUGAGUGAAAGUCUUUCAUCUCUUUAUAAAUUUUUCAAAUGUUUGAUAUGUAAUUGAUGAGAUGAUUAACGGCGGAGUGAAGGGUGGAUUGUACGUGUCAAAUUUAAAAACAAUAAAUAAUAUUCCUUUUAAAAUAAAGGAAGUAUUUCUUAGUUUUAGAUAGUGAGGACACUUAUUUCAACAAUAUAUUUAUUUUUGAAGGACCUAAUUAUACGUGACACUACAUAAUGAUAGGUGUGGUUAAUUAAAUGAGCGCUUUUUAAUCAAAUUGCAUUUUGCUUUUUCUAAUGUUAUCUUUUUAGUAGAGUAAUAGAUAGAUGGGAAUGAAAAUCCCACUUGAAAGGCAGAAAUGUGCCUUUAUACCACUCUUAUUACAUAACAUUAGGUUAUGGACGAGAAAAUUAAAGGGUUGUGAUGUCCAUCGUCAUGCACUAAUGUGGAUAAAUGGAUGUUUUACCCUUUUGGAUCUUUAUUUUUGUAGCAAGUUUUUGAAUAUUGAAUUAUUUAUGCAUUAACUUGACAUAAUAGAACAUUGCACCUACUAAACAAAAGUAGUGAAAAGUAAUAUAGAGUAAGAAACGAGGUUUGUACAUCUAAAAUGUGUAACCCAACAUGAAUAGUGGAACAAUAACCAGAUGAGGCCUAAAUUUAUAGGAUUAUUUGUUGAAGUGAAAUAACACUUGGUCGUUAUUAGGUGUAGGACAUCCAAAGGAUAGGUGGUGUAAUUCGUAUCAAUAAAAGUAUGGAAGAAAUCAAUAGAGUUGUGUACUGCAGCAGUGCAACCAACUGAGUAGUAGUUGAGGGAGGGGAAGAUAUUAGUAUUUCACCUAAAAUGCUUUAGGUAUACCUCCUAAUAUGAGGUUACACUUCUAGAUUGAUAAAGAAAAAGGGACUUGGUAUUUUUUUCCUCUGUCCCUGUCAUGUUUCUGUUGUAAUUCUUUUACCUUUUUGUUGUCUAAUGAACUUGAUAUUAACAAAGAAGUUAUGGUGGAUCAGCAGUGAACAUGGCUUGGAUUAACAUAAAAUAUAAUUUCAGAAUCAUAUAAUUUUUUUUUGUAUUUCGUAAUGAAAUUUUCCUCAAACAUAAAACAUAAUUUCAGAAUCAUAUAUUUUUUUGUAUUUCGUAAUGAAAUUUUCCUCAACUAUAUUGCAACCACCCUUUAAAUAGUGGUAUUAUUGUGGAGGAUAGACUUUAAGAACAAUAUUAUUUAUAUUUUUAUAAUUUCUUGCAAAGCUAAAGAACUUUUAUUGAUCACUAAACUAGCCACCGCUAUAAUAUAAUUAUUGAUAUUUUGUUCUUUGUCAAAUUUUUACUUUCUAUGUCUAAGGUUUUGAACUUUUCAUCAAUAUUUUCAAUGAUACAAUAUGGUAAGUUCUCUUAUUUAUAAAUCUUCAUUUCAACGUGGGUCAUAUCAUAUGAAGAGAAUUAUAGCAUUUUGAGAACAUCAUUUUUAGGGUACAAAUUUAUGGAACUUAUUAGUUCCUAUCUCCCAUCAGAAUUUUCAAGAUGCCACAUUUGACAAAUUUAUACUAUUUUUCACUUUAUUUUUCUGCAAAUAAUUUUUCUCUAUGUAAUGUUUUGUCACAUGUCUAUAGUUUAAAGGAAUUUCAAUGACCAAAUAUAACAUAAUAAAGUGUUAGUAAGCACCUUAUAUAAUGCAACAUGUAAGAGUCGCAAAAUUAAUGCAGAACAGAACCCUUUUCUUCGUUCUUCUCUCGGCGCACGUUAGUUAACGUACGCCGAGCUCGUAUCUAUGGCGAGAGAUACUUAAACCCUUCUUCUUCGUUCUUCUCUCGGCGCACGUUAGUUAACGUAUGUCGAGCUCGUAUCUAUGGCGAGAGGGAGGGGUCGAGGUAGGGGACGACCCAGAAAAAUUCCGAUUUCCACCAUAGAUAGAAUCAUCACAACCAUAAAUCAACCAUCUACGGAGAAACUGACCACCACUGGUGCAACUGAGCAGCCAGUCGAUUCGUCAUGCGAAGGUGAGAAUCCUUUGAUUUCACAGCAAUCUAAUGAGGUAAUGGAGAUGGAACGAAGCUAUCCUCCUUCGGUUAAAGCAUCGUUAACUCCGAUGAAGCAGAUGGCCGGUGAAAAUGGACACAUGCAGAAGCUUAUUCCAGUCCAAGCUCAAUCAGUGAUGGGUAUAACGAAGCCAGUGGAGGAGACUUCAAGAAAAACCGAUGUACCAAAGAGGAAUUGGGCUUAUCUUUUUCAGAAGAAUCGAUUUGUUUCUAAUGGUGUGGCACUAGAAUACAUCCCCCCGCUAAUGAUCGAAGGUCAACCAGUAGGGCAGUUGAACAAAGCAGGGCUAAUCUUUUUCAGAAGAAUCGAUUUACUUCUAAUGGUAUGGCACUAGAAUACAUCCCCCGGCAACGAUUGAAGGUCAACCAGUAGGCCAGCUGAACAAAGCAGAGGUGGAGGAGGAAGAAAAUAAGUGGAAGUGUGCCCUAAUUGUCUAUAUUUUAGGGGAUGGGCUUGGGUAUAACGCGAUGAAGAGAUUCAUCAGCCUCCAUUGGUCACAUGUACCAGAACUAGAGCUGUUUUAUCACGAGGAAGGAUACUACAUAGUGAAGUUCCGAACAAUUGAUGAUGCCAAAAAAGUUUUAUGUGCUGGUCCUUAUUCUAUAGCAAAUAGGCCCAUGAUUCUCAAGCAAUGGACGUCAGAUUUCGAUUUCACUGAGGAAUUCCCUGCUGAGAUUCCACUGUGGGUCAAAUUUCCUAAACUCCCUAUGUCCUGUUGGGGAAUGAGAUCCUUGAGUAGAAUAGCAGAUUUUGAUUUCACUGAGGAAUUCCCUGUUGAGAUUCCACUAUGGGUCAAAUUUCCUAAACUUCCUAUGUCUUGUUGGGGAAUGAGAUUCUUGAGUAGAAUAGCCAGUGUGUUAGGAAAACCUAUUUUUGCGGAUGAAUGUACAAUCAAACAAUCUAGAAUUUCCUAUGCUCGAAUGCUCAUAGAGAUGAAUGUUAUCAAAGAUCUACCUAGGGAUAUAUGGUUAAUGGAUGCAAAUGGGAAGAAAUUUCUGCAAGAAGUGGUUUAUNNNNNNNNNNNNNNNNNNNNNNNNNNNNNNNNNNNNNNNNNNNNNNNNNNNNNNNNNNNNNNNNNNNNNNNNNNNNNNNNNNNNNNNNNNNNNNNNNNNNNNNNNNNNNNNNNNNNNNNNNNNNNNNNNNNNNNNNNNNNNNNNNNNNNNNNNNNNGGUUGAUGAAUCCUAAACCAAUCCAGCCUCCUCAAGUGAAGAAACCUAAAGUGAUUCAGGAAUAGAGAACCAAAGCUCCAAUCCAGACUGUUCAGAAUCAUCAUGAGGUUCCUCUACAGCAAACUGAGACAAGGCAGAGCAGUGUAUCUAAGAGAGAGCCUCAUGACCCCUCAUCCCUUGUAACAGGAAAGAACAAACAGGAAGACAAAGGGAAGCAAGUUCAAUCCCCAGAAUUCAACCUCACCAACUUCCCACCUUUAUCUCCUAUUGUGGUUAGUAAUCGAUUUGAAGCUAUGUCUAUUAGUAGAGUUGAGAAUUCUCCAGAGGAUGAAGGAGGACCUAGCAACUGUCAAUGAAGUGGCUAAUCUGGAAUAUUAGGGGUGUAAGUAAGAGGUAUAAACAAAAGAAGUUAGGGAGGACGACCUAGCAACUGUCAAUGAAGUGGUUAUCUGGAAUAUUAGGGGUGUAAAUAAAAGGUAUAAACAAAAAGAAGUUAGGGAAUAUAUUAGGAAUAAUUAUAUUAACCUUGUUGGUCUGGUAGAGACCAAGGUUAAAGAAAAGAAUGCAGACAGGAUUGCUAAGAUGUUGGUUCCUGGUUGGGGUUUACUAACAAAUUAUCAGGGCUCCAUAAAUGGUAGAGUAUGGAUUAUAUGGGAUACACAAUUGAUCAGAGUCACUGGUAUCCAGGAGGAGGCUCAAUUGAUUCACUGUAGAGUCAGAAACANNNCAUAAUUGAUCAGAGUCACUGGUAUCCAGGAGGAGGCUCAAUUGAUUCACGGUAGAGUCAGAAACAUUUCUGGAGAUGCCAUCUGUUACCUCACUGUGGUGUAUGGCUUUAAUGGGAUGGACCAGAGGAGAUCACUAUGGAAAAAUUCUGCAGCAUUAUUCUGUUGCUAUUACUGAACCUUGGUUAAUUGCUGGUGAUUUCAAUGUUGUUCUGUAUGCUAAUGAUAGACAGUCAAGUAAUUAAGUGAAGCAAGCAGAGAUCCAAGAGUUCACUCAAUGUAUUCAACAGGCUGGACUUUCAGAACUUCCCUGGAAAGGGGAGUAUUUCACCUAGACAAAUAGGCAGACAGGCAGUGAUAGAGUAUGUAGUAGACUGGACAGAGUCUUUGACAAUUAUGAGUGGAUGAUUAACUGGAGUCAUGUGCAAACUGUAUAUGAUCAUCCCUUAAUCUUUGAUCAUAACCCUAUGGUGAUUACACUGGCAGAAGCUACUAGGAAAGGGAAUACUCCUUUCAGAUUCUUCAACACAUGGGCCAAUCAUGAAGACUUUUAUCAGUUGGUCAAAGACAACUGGCACAGUAAUAAUCAGUUAUCUAUGAAAUUAGUGUGGUCUAAUCUCAAGUCAUUGAAAGGCCCCUUAAAAUCUUUAAACACUAAAGAUUUUAAGAACAUUAGUUAGAGAAUUGAUCAUUGUAGACAAGAAUUGAAGGACAUCCAGAAUCAGAUGGCACUGGAUUACACUGAUGAGUUGCAACUUAAAGAGAAGGAAAUAGCAGUGAAGCUGGAAAAGUGGUCCUUGAUUGAAGAAAGUAUGCUACAACAGAAGUCCAGGGUAAAAUGGAUCCAACUGGGUGACUCUAACAACAAGUAUUUCUCUACUUCUACAACAGAAGUCCAGGGCAAAAUGGAUCCAACUGGGUGACUCUAAGAACAAGUAUUUCUCUGUUGUCCUGAAGGAAAGAAAUCAACACAAGCAUAUCACUGAGCUUAUUACACCUGGUGGUCUCAAGGUUACUAAUCCAGAUGACAUUAAAAAGGAGAUCAAUGACUUCUAUAAGUCAUUAAUGGGCACAACAGCUGCUUCUCUGCCAGCCAUAAACCGAGUGUAUAUGACCAAUGGCCCUACCUUAACACAUCAACAGAAGAAAGAGUUAAUUUCUGAUAUUACUGAACUUGAGAUUCUGGAAAGUUUAAAGGCAAUUGGGGAUGACAAAGCCCCUGGAAUUGAUGGAUACAAUGCAGUGUUUUCCAAGUAGACAUGGAACAUCAUUGGCAAGCAGAUCAUAGGUGCAGUCAAGGAUUUCUUCCACACUACCAAGAUGUACAAACCAGUAAAUUGUGCCUCUCUCAUUUUGAUCCCUAAAGUCCCUAACUCAACCACAGUCAAAGAAUACAGACCAAUUGCAUGCUGCUCAGUUUUGUACAAAACGAUUUCCAAGAUAUUAGCCAACAGAAUGCAGAAAAUCAUGUCUAGCAUCAUUUGUGAAGCCCACUAUAUAAAAUGAUUUCCAAUAUCCUAGCCAACAGAAUGCAGAAAGUCAUGUCUAGCAUCAUUUGUGAGGCCCAAGCAGGAUUCAUCCCGGGCAGGAAGAUUGCAGACAAUGUUAUCCUGGCUCAUGAGUUGAUCAAAAACUAUUCCAGAUCCCAUGUGACUCCUAGAUGCAUGAUCAAAAUUGACCUGCAGAAGGCCUAUGAUUCUGUCAAAUGGAUCUUCUUGCAACAGGUAAUGGAAGCAUUGGGUUUUCCAGCCAGAUUCACAAACUGGAUCAAGGAAUGUGUUCAAACAUUAAGCUAUACAGUGAUGACUAGUGGGGAAACAACUGAACCUUUUAAAGCUGCUAAAGGCCUUAGACAAGGUGAUCCAAUCUCCCCUAAAGCUGCUAAAGGCCUUAGACAAGGUGAUCCAAUUUCCCCAUUCCUAUUUGCAAUAGUCAUGGAGUAUCUAAGUAGAUCUCUGGCUGAACUGAAGAAAGACCAAGAAUUCAUAUACCAUCCAGGUUGUAAAAGGCUGGGCAUCACUCACAUAAGUUCUGCUGAUGAACUACUUCUGUUUGCUAAAGGAGAAAGUCAGUCUGUCAUUACCAUGUUCAAGUAUUUCUCCCAGUUCACUGAAGCAUCUGGGCUGAAAGCCAAUCUGAGCAAAAGUUCAGUAUACUUUGGAGGGGUUAGUUCUGAAGUUCAGCAGCAGAUUACUGAUCACCUAGGUUAUGUGUAUGGAGAUUUUCCUUUCAAAUAUUUGGGCAUUCCUCUAUCCACCAAGAAGAUGGCAUUGAGAGUGGCAACCUCUGGUAGAUAAGAUCACUGCUAGGAUCACCUCAUGGACUGCUAGAAAGUUGUCAUAUGCUGGGAGGAUGCAAUUGGUACAGUCAGUGGUUUUUGGUAUACAGUCUUACUGGGCACAACUCUUCCUUAUCCCUACUAAGAUUCUAAAGCUUAUUGAAGCAGUCUGCAGAAGUUUUAUUUGGUCUGGAUUAGUUGUUAUCUCUAAGAAGGCCUACAUUGCAUGGGACAAAAUGUGUUUGCCGAAGUCCGCUGGUGAGCUCAACCUCACAAAUCCUCUUUUUGUGGAACAAGGCAGCUAUUGCUAAACUUUGCUGGGAUCUGGCUCACAAGAAAGACACACUGUGGGUCAAAUGAAUUCACACUGUUUAUAUAAAACAGCAGCAACUGGAGAAUACUCCUAUCCCCAAGCAAGCUAGUUGGAUGGUACGAAAGAUAAUUGCAGCAAGUGGACUGCUACAACAACACCAAAGUCUGCACAUGCCAGUAUGCUCCAUCAGAUGCAACUAGAGAACACUCCUAUGCCCAAGCAAGCUAGUUGGAUGGUACGAAAGGUAAUUGCAGCAAGUGGACUACUACAACAACAUCAAAGUCUGCACAUGCCAGUAUGCUCCAUUAGGCAACUCUAUCUGUUUCAGAUUGGCCAACUCCCGAGAGAUCCAUGGAAGAAUCUAACUGCUCAAAGCUAUGCUAGGCCCAAGGCUGUCUUUAAUUUAUGGUUGGUGCUUUAUGAUAGGCUACCAAACAAGGAUAGGCUGCUACAUUGGGGUAUGAAUAUGGAUAACAUAUGUGUUCUGUGCCAGCACGCUCCGGAAACCAGAUACCACCUUUUCCAUAGUUGUUCAUUUGCUACAUAACUAAGGGAUCAGACACUGUCCUGGAUCAGAGAGAGGUAUGACUGUGGAUAACAAAUGUGUUAUGUGCCAGCAAGCUCCGGAAACCAGAGACCAUCUUUUCCACACUUGCCCAUUUGCUACUGAAUUAAGGGACCAAACUCUGUCCUGGAUUAGAGAAGAUCACUCCAAUAUGCAGAACUGGGAGUAGUUUAUACAGUGGAUUGUUAGUAAAGCUAAAGGGAAAUCAAGUAGGGGUAACAUAUUCAAAAUGGUGGCAGCUGAACUAUUCUACGCUUUGUGUUUGGCGAGAAAUGCGAGGAUUUUUGAGAAUGUUUUCCGCAGCAGUGACAACCUACUCAGGGACAUAGCGUAUACUUGUAAUGUUAGAGGAACCCCUAAAAUUAGACAACAGCUUCAGCAAUAUCUUCUUUAAUAGAGGGAUAGUUAUAGAGAUAGUUGAUAUAUAGUCUAAAUAUGAUAGUCAUGCAGAGGAUGAACUAUGGUUUUGUAUGAAAAUCUCUUUGGUAUUUAAUAAAAUCCUUAAUUACCAAAAAAAACAUGUAAGAGUCGCCUGGAGGGAAUAGUAAAGUCGAGACAGUAAGCAACAAAAUAGCCGAACCAGCACUAAAUAUUAUGCAAGCUUACUAUAAAAAUUCUUAAAAGGGUUUCAUUGUUGGUUGACAUCUAGAAAUACGAACGGAAUUUAAUAAUGUUUAUAUUCCUUUCGUUACUACUUUGGGUUUUACCAUUUUCUUAAUUUUAGGAUUGAGAGAAUUCGAAUGAGGAUUAGAAAGCAUAGAUAAUAUAUGAUAACCAAGGAUUUUGGUAUUUUUUCUGUUCACUCGUCAUCUUCAACUUUUUCUUAGGUUUUCUUUGUUGCACUCCUUUCAUUUUUCUUUUUGAUUUUGCAUUUACUACUAUAUUUAAGAAGAUAACAACUUAUAAUUUUGUGUUUGUUGUUUCUGAUUUUUGUAUAUCUUUUGUACUGUUUGCAGCUGUCCAAUUGGAUGUAUAUGGUUUGUUCCAUGACCUUAACUGACAUUCCGAGGAAGCUACCAUUUGCUCAUUGAAAAUGUCGACUGAAAAUAAGGUUAAACAUGUGGUUGCAACUGAAUAUGCUCCAAUCGUCCCUCAAUCAUAGUUUUAUUCUUUUUGGUUUGUACGUGCCUCGAUAUCUAAUUUUUGUGGGAGCCAUGUUGAUAGAAGAAGUGUAAUGGUUAUAGUUAAUUCAGUAAAAUUAUAUAGCGAUAACAGAUAUUAAAGUCUUUUUUCUUAUGAAUUAUUUUUAGAAUACACGGGUAGGAGAGUAAUUCUUUUAAGUUAUGAGAUGUUUUUGACAUUUGCGUUAAAAAUACUACUUUUAUACUCUUAAGUUAUUGAUCCUUCGUUAGGUUGGGGUGUUAGCUUUUCUGUAUAUUUUUCAUGAUACAUUAAAUGGAGAUGGUUACAUAACAAGUGCAAUUGGUUUGUCUCAUUGCAUAAGAGACUAAAUUAUUUAGGGAGAGAUUUUAUGUUUCUUAGGAACAUAGUGGGACUCUUCAAUGUUUAUCACAAGGUAAGAGAGAACUAUUUUUGGUUGAUGUAUUGCGAUGACCAUCUUCCCUGUCAUAUGUUCAAGGAUUUAAUGUAUGCUUUAUUUGGAGGAAGAAGCAAGAGGGAAUAAUGUAGCACUUAAUGUUAGUGAAUUUUUGCAUUCCAUGUAUAUUUGGG
rnacentral:lncRNA from 1 species